ensembl:lncRNA
CACACGUGUAGACAAAGGGGGACUCCACAACACAAAGCUAGAUGUGCCCUCUCAAACUUUUUUCCCCCCCUACAACCGACAGCAGCGCGCGCACAGGAAGCCGACUGCCCAGGUGGGAAUUUAAGCAAUUUAACCGGUACAGUGCUUGCUUCUGAUGGAUUAAGAAAAUAAAAAAAGAUGUGUAGAAAAAAAAACACAUGGAAGAUGUACAGAUUCACCUAUCAAGCUAUUUUUAAGAUGAAAUGAAGGAUUAAGAGACUGUUCACUUUUCUUCUGGAUGAACAUGAAGACUUAUCUUAUGAGGAUUUAGACUUCAGCAGCAGCAGCGCCAGUCGGAUUGUGUUUUAGGCACACUUGGAAAUCUAAACCUCAUGGAGAUACUUUGAGGAUUAUAAAAGAUGUGCAUGUAGAAUGCCACAAUACAAGACGCGUCCUGGGCCAAAGUCCUUGGGAUAGCAGGAUAUUGCUUUCCUGAUCCUUCUCAGCCCUCAGCAUGGGGAGUGUGGGAGUGGUGAGGUCUGGGAGAUCACGACCUUAAUUCUCUCCAAGACAGACGGUUUAAUUAACACUGGAAGAAUCCUCACUGACUCCAGACCUCUACAGUGAGAAUGUACAGGGGAAUUGGCUUGCCAAGGUCCUCUUGGCCAUAGACUGAAAUGCUGACAGACGAUGCCCAUGAAUGAUGAAUGAUGACUGGAGGUCUGUCUGGUGCCAGCAGAAUGCAUAAUACAGCAUCGAUACAGCAAUCGCAGUCCUCCUCAGCAGAAACAUGGUGCGGUUUCUGUAUCACAUUAUUGGAAGAUUUGCCCCAAGCAGGACAGCAGGACCACUCAAAGUGGAAAUCAACCGCAAUGUUGAAUGUUGUUUUGGGUUGGAGUCCUAAAUGAAGCAGCAUUACAAAGAGUUUUCUGGUGUGUCAGAGUGAGGCUCAGUGGGAAAGAUUGCUGUGUCUAGACAGGAGUGUGAGGUGCAGCCUGAAGGCAAUUUUCAUCACUACCUCAUGCAACUGCAGUGCUGCAACAUAUAUUGGCGAACAAGGAUGUACCCCACCUCUUGCCCCGUGACACCUGGGACAGGCUCCAGCCUUCCCAUUAGCCUGAACUGGUUUUGCCUGAAAACUUUUGGACCAACACAACCUGGGAAAGGUUAAGAUGAACAAAAGAGACUGCAACAGAAAGUGGAUAGAGAGUCAGUAACACCACAGCAGGAGGUGAAAGGAGGAGACCUGCAGGCAGGAAGAGAGAGGAGAGGGAAACUGUGCAAAAGUACAGCACAGAAUCGUGCCUCACAUCAGAUGGCAGCAAUGCAAAAAUGUGUGACACUGCAAAAUGAAGGCAAAGGAGAGAAAAAAAAAACAUCUGUGUGCGAUAGGGUUUAAAUCCAAUAACUGCAUGCAUGUAUGGAUCCGAGUCAUUGUUCAAAUAUUUGAGCCUUUGUGUGUGCGUGUGUGUGUGCAUGUGCACUUGCACAAUGAAUGGGGUGCCAGGCGGCAGCAGCUGGGAAUGCCUUCCUCUGUUCUCCUGUCAUCAAUAAAUGAUCAGAGUGGGCCAUCUGGAGAGAGGGAACCACCAACCACCAGGACCUGGCACUGAACGAAUGACACAGAGAAAGAAAAAGAAUGUGAGGAUAGAUCAGUGAACAGUAAGAGUAAGAGCAAGAUGGGACAGGAAGGGGGAAGUUACAUUUAAAGAACACUGGGGAGGCAAUUAAAAAGAUGAUGUGAAAAAGACCCUACAAUAUACUGGUGGAGCUCAAAAGAAAAUAGAAUAUUGUGAAAAGUUGUUUUUUCAUGAUUUAAUUCAAAAAGGCAUCAUCUCCGAUAUUCUUUUGUUUAUAUUUUUAUGAUUAUGGCUUAUAGCUCACGAAAAUCAGAAAUCAAGCAUCUUAUGUAAUUAGAAUAUUUCCAAACGGCAAUCAAAAAAAGGAUUUACUAUACUUCUGAGUAUGCUUUUUAUUCUACAGUACUUGAUUGGGUUUCUUUUACCAUGAAUUACUGGAUCAGUGCAGUGUGAUGCAGAGGCAUUCAGCUUGUGGUGUUGCUAAAAGCCAGGUUGCUUUGAUAACAGUCUUCAGCUCAUCUGUACUUUUGGGCUGAGUAUUUCACAUCUUACUCUUGUCAGUACCCUAUAAAUUGUCUGUAGGGUUCAGUCAGCUGAUCAAUUAAGCACAUUACAAUAAAAUUCACAUGACAAUAACUUGGUAAGCAAACCAUUUGGAAGUAGUUUUGGCACUGUUUGCAGGUGGUAGGUUUAAUCAAAAAGGAAACCGGCAUCGCCAUAAAGCUUUUCAACAGAUGGAAUCGUGACCUGAUCUCCUGGUAGACAGCUGUGUUGACUUUGGAUUUGAUGAAACAGAGUGAACCAACCACCACCAACACCAGCAGAUGACAUGGCACAAUAAAUCCUAACAGACUGCACAAACUUUACACUGGCAUUUCAACACUUACAUCUGUGUCUCUCUAGACUCUAGGAUCUUGAUUUUCAAAUGAAAUCAAAUUUACUUUCAUUUGAAACGAGGACUUUGGACCAUUAAGCCACAGUUUAGUUCUUUUUUUCCUUAGUCCAGCUAAGAUACUCCUGACACUGUCUGUGGUUCUGGAGUCUUUUGCCAUUACUUUUGCAACACUUGAAAGUGGCUGUGCAUGGUGGCUGUUGAUGUAUUGCAACCACCUGGGAUUCCUCUGGCCCGCCAGUAACCCCUUCACUUCCUGCCUGCUGAGAGAAAUAUCCAAGAAGAGCUCAGACUCCACUCCUCAAUUAUCAGCCAACUUUUACUACUGUAUACUUACCCCUGACCAUCACUAACCCCCCAUUUACUCUGCAGCAGAGCUUCCUGUUCAUUCCUGUAGAAAGAUACUCACUGGAGCACUUACCUUUUUCAGACUCCUGUUUUUUUUUUUUCAUUCCAAGUAGUUCUUAAAACUGUUGCUGUUCACAAGCAAAACGUGCUGUAAUGUGACUCGACAAAUUUGCACCUAGACAAAAAGAGUAAACUUCGACCACAUGUGCCAGAAGAAAAAUGCAGUUGUUUGUAGAGAUCGAAAGAACUCACACUUUUGCAUACUCAGAUACUACAUUUGACAUAAUACAUACAUAAUAUGACAUUUUCAGAGACAGAAAAUAUGCAAAGAAUAUGCAUAAAAUAAUUAGUUAAUUAAAAGUAAUUUUUUAAUGUAUUUAUUUUCACUUUUUUUUGUGACUGGAGUUAGGAGUGCCAUGGUCCUGAGUCUUUGACUUAGUAUUUUGAGUUUUAUACCCACCUGUUUCUUGGAAAGUUAUAAGAUAAUGUAAGUUCUUGUUCCUGAAUAUAUUAUGUUCUAGUGCCUCUGAGUUUGUUAUUUAAAUUUCUUGAAUUCUAGUUUCAUUAUUUUGUCUGUCUCUUAUAUGUGGUCUCUGAGUCUCUGUUUGUUUACCUCUGGUCUACCCAGUUGUGUCUCAGUGGCUGUCUGGUCUCUCUGUGUUCUGUCUCAUUUUUAGAAAAUCUUACUAAAUAAUAUUUAAAAAGCCAUGCUAUCCAAGCAUUAUGACAUUUGAAUUGAAGGAGAGUUAAUAAUUAAUCACUUAAUGGUGGAAGUAGUAUACAUUUAUCACUCUUUACAGUAGCUUAGUACAGCUCAGUACAGUACACUAUGCUGGAAGAACAUGAUAAAUAUUCAUAACAAUAGAUCCUGUUUGUAGGCUUGCAUUAGAAUCACAUGACUUUCUUUUUCUCACACUCACUGACAGUUUUCUAAAAUAUUCUAAUAUGCUGAAACUUGUAUCAGUUUUUGUUAUGUAUGUGCUACAUUUUAUUAUUAAGUAAGUUAUAAAGCUUCACAUAUACAUAUGUACACUUUUGUCUGCUAUACCCACUGGACCGCCAUACUAUUAUAAGCAGGCCCCUUUUAUUUUAACGUAAACCACAAAAGCAAAACCAUUCAUUAGCAGUCUUGCUAUCAUCCCCACAAACGUCUGUGGCCAUUUCAUUAUGUGAGCUAUAUUUUGAGCGUUUAUUUAAGAAAGCAGUUUAAUUCAUAUGUCAUAUUAAAUCAUAUUUUAUAUAUGUUACAUAUUAUAUACU